CCCACUUAUUAAAGAUAAUUCCUUCCUUUGUUCCAGUGAAUAAUAUGGAUCUUUGAUUUUUGAAAAAGUGUGUUUAGUGACAUUUAACCCAGAACUUUAGGUCCACAUUACCUAUAAGGAUGUGAGAUUUCCGUGUGGCAUUGAGCAUCUGCUUAGAUUUGAAGGACUAGGUCUCCCAUUAGAGGUCUUACAGACUGGGGGAAAGAUGAUUUUACUAUGCAUUUUGAUGGUGAUGUUUCAGUGUAUGUUCUAUUAACUUGAUCCUUUUAUUACAUAAUGCUGAGUGUUAUUUCAUAUCCUUGGAACUUCGGUAAUAUAGUGUAUUAUCCUUGAAGUCCCAGGGGAACAUAUUUUCCCCACCGAAAAUCAUCAGCUAACAGCUUAGCUCUGUUGCAAUCAAGAGGAAAUGCUGGACUUACUUUAGAUGAGCAGUUUGGAUAACAAUGUGCAGACUCCCCUGUGGAACAGUCAUAAGGAAACCAGCUGACGUAAGAGAAUGAAGACAUCCAAAAGCACUGUUUAAGCAAACUUGAGCUAAAGUAGGUUGAGCAGUUGGUCACAGUCUCUUAGAGCAAAUGGAAACAGCAGCGAAGUACAGAAUGGAAGGAGGGAGCCUCGCUUCUCACCUCUGCGUUAUUACCACUGUGAAGAGAGGGAUGGAAGGACUGAUUACCAAUUGUGAGGAAAUUCAACCUUUUUUUAACAGUGUCUGCAGUCGCAAUCAAGGCAACUUCCCAGUGACUCACAGAAGAAUGUGA
rnacentral:lncRNA from 12 species